rnacentral:tRNA from 1 species
AUUUAAGUAGCUUAAAUUAAAGCAUAAUAUUGAAGAUAUUAGGAUAAAAUUAUUUUUCUUAAAUA